rnacentral:rRNA from 1 species
AGGGCGUAUGGUGGAUGCCUUGGCAGACAGUACCGAUGAAGGACGUUUGAGGAUGCGAUAAUCCUAGGGGAGCCUCCAACAUGGCUUUGAUCCUAGGGUCUCCGAAUGGGGGAACCCGCCGGCCGUCAUGGGCCGGCACCGCUUAUGUGCGGGGGGUACGCAGGGAAGUGAAACAUCUCAGUACCUGCAGGAAGGGAUACUCCGUGAGUAGUGGCGAGCGAAAGCGGAUCAGACCAAACCGGUUGCGCGUGAUACCCGUCGGGGGUUGCGUUGCCGGUGUUGUGGGAUCACGUGUCCCGGUUCCGACGGGCCGGGCGGGAGUCAUAAAACGGCUUGCCAGGGGAACAGGCUUGAAGGCCUGGCCGUAGAGGGUGCCAGCCCCGUACCUGGACGUGAGCCGUCUUCCGAUCGUGUUGUCCCAAGUAGCGCGGGCCUCGUGGAAUCCCGCGUGAAUCAGCCCAGACCGUUGGGUAAGUCUAAGCAUACCUGUCUGACCGAUAGCGUACCAGUACCGUGAGGGAAAGGUGAAAAGCACCCCGGGAGGGGAGUGAAACAGUUCCUGAAACCGUGCGCCCACAAACCGUCGGAGCCUCCUUGUGGGGUGACGGCGUGCCUAUCGAAAAAUGAGUCUGCGAGUCAGUGGCGGGUGGCGAGCAUAAGCCGUGUGGCGUAUGCGUAGCGAAAGCGAGUCUUAAAAGGCGUUUUUUAGUCGCUUGUCCUGGACCCGAAGCGGGAUGAUCUAGCCCUGGGCAGGUUGAAGCGCGGGUAAGACCGCGUGGAGGACCGAACCCACCUGGGUUGAAAACCGGGGGGAUGACCUGGGGCUAGGGGUGAAAGGCCAAUCAAAUUCCGUGAUAGCUGGUUCUCUCCGAAAUGCAUUUAGGUGCAGCGUCGGUCGAUUGCGUCGCGGGGGUAGAGCUACCGGAUGCUUGCGGGCCCUUGUUGGGUACCAACAGCAGCCGAACUCCGAAUACCGUUGACGUGUAUUCCGGCAGUGAGUCGGCGGGGGAUAAGCUCCGUCGUCGAGAGGGAGACAGCCCAGACCGUCGUCUAAGGUCCCGAAGCGUGUGCUAAGUGGGAAAGGAUGUGGAGUCGCAUAGACAGCCAGGAGGUUGGCUCAGAAGCAGCCAUCCUUGAAAGAGUGCGUAACAGCUCACUGGUCUAGUGGUUCCGCGCCGACAAUGUAGCGGGGCUCAAGCACACCACCGAAGACGCGGCAGCAAUCUUCAUGGUUGCUGGGUAGGAGAGCGUCCUGCGAGGGGCGAAGCGGCGGUGGAAACCGGCCGUGGACUUCGUGGGAGUGAGAAUGCAGACAUGAGUAGCGAGAGACGGGUGAGGAUCCCGUCCGCUGGAUGACCAAGGGUUCCGGGGCCACGUUCGUCGUCCCCGGGUGAGUCGGGUCCUAAGGCGAGGCCGACAGGCGUAGUCGAAUGGAUGAACGGGUGGAUAUUCCCGUACCGACCAUGGACCGGCAAAACCGAGACGGUGAGUACUAACCUCCGCCUCGUGGUGGUUCCUUCCUUCGGGUUGGUAUCGCCGCGUGGUGUUGGGAGCGUAGCCGCAGUAGGUCAGCGCAGGGGUGACACGGAAUGGGAGCCGGCCGCGGAGGUGGUUUUCCGUGGUCAAGCACGCAGCCAGUCAUGUAGGCAAAUCCGCAUGGCGCGCAUGGCGAGGUGUGAUGAUGGGAGCCGUUAUGGCUCGAUAUCCGGUUGUCCAGGCCGUCGAGAAAAGCCUCGGCGUGAGGGCCAUGGCCGCCCGUACCCCAAACCGACACUGGUGGUCAGGUAGAGAAUACCAAGGCGAUCGAGCGAAUCCUGGUCAAGGAACUCGGCAAAUCACUCCCGUGCCUUCGGUAUAAGGGAGACCCACUGGGGUGAACGGCCUCGCGCCGGGAGCUUUGGUGGGUGGCACAGACCAGGGGGUAGCGACUGUUUACCAAAAACACAGGUGCAUGCGAAGGCGAAAGCCGCUGUAUAUGCACUGACGCCUGCCCGGUGCCGGAAGGUUAAGAGGAUCCGUCAAUCCCUUCGGGGACGAAGCGGUGAAUUCAAGCCCCGGUAAACGGCGGUGGUAACUAUAACCAUCCUAAGGUAGCGAAAUUCCUUGUCGGGUAAGUUCCGACCUGCACGAAUGGCGUAACGACUUCCCCACUGUCUCGACCAGGAGCUCGGCGAAAUUGCAGUACGAGUAAAGAUGCUCGUUAAGCGCAGAAGGACGAAAAGACCCCGGGACCUUUACUAUACCUUGGUAUUGGCGUUAGGCGCGGAUUGUGUAGCAUAGGCGGGAGGCUUNNNNNNNNNNAAAAGACCCCGGGACCUUUACUAUACCUUGGUAUUGGCGUUAGGCGCGGAUUGUGUAGCAUAGGCGGGAGGCUUCGAAGCGGGUGCGCCAGCAUUCGUGGAGCCGCAAGGUGAAAUACCGCUCUGUUCUCGUUUGACGUCUAACCUCGACAAGUCAUCCUUGUCAGGGACAGUGCCUGGCGGGUAGUUCAACUGGGGCGGUUGCCUCCCAAAGAGUAACGGAGGCGCUCAAAGGUCCGCUCAGCCCGGUUGGCAAUCGGGUGUCGAGUGUAAUCGCACAAGCGGGCUUGACUGCGAGGACGACGGUCCGAGCAGGGACGAAAGUCGGAGAUAGUGAUCCGGUGCCGGCGCACGGGCGCGGCAUCGCUCAACGGAUAAAAGGUACCCCGGGGAUAACAGGCUGAUCAUUCCCAAGAGUCCAUAUCGACGGGAUGGUUUGGCACCUCGAUGUCGGCUCGUCGCAUCCUGGGGCUGGAGCAGGUCCCAAGGGUUCGGCUGUUCGCCGAUUAAAGCGGCACGCGAGCUGGGUUCAGAACGUCGUGAGACAGUUUGGUCUCUAUCCUCUGCGCUCGUUGGAAUCCUGAGGAGGCCUGCCCAUAGUACGAGAGGACCUGGGUGGACGAACCUCUGGUAUGCCGGUUGUCGCGCCAGCGGCACGGCCGGUUGGCUACGUUCGGGAGGGAUAACCGCUGAAAGCAUCUAAGCGGGAAGCCUGCUCCAAGAUUAGGAUUCCAUGGAUCUUCGAGAUCCUGUAGCCCGCAUGUUGA